rnacentral:rRNA from 1 species
AUUGUAGGCUGAAACUCGCCUGUAUGAAGUCGGAAUUGCUAGUAAUCGCGGAUCAGCAUGCCGCGGUGAAUACGUUCCCGGGCCUUGUACACACCGCCCGUCACACCAUGAGAGUCGAUAACACCCGAAGCCUGUAGUCUAACAGCAAUGAGGACGCAGUCGAAGGUGGGAUUGAUAAUUAGGGUGAAGUCGUAACAAGGUACC